CGCGCAUUACCUCUGGGUAACCAGUUGGAGGUUGAUUAAACUAACUCUUCUCAGGUGUUUUGGAACCGACAUACUCAUGGUAUGCCUGUUUGGGGUAAAUCAACCCAGAGGUUAUGAUUUAUCAAAUGUGAUCGGAGGGGGCAUUUAAGGAGGAGCGCGAGGAUGUGUGUGUGCGCGCCAAAGACAUGUGAUUAAGACACUGAGCACCAGAAAUAAAGAAACAUUCAAUAAAAGUAACAUGAUUGACUUA